UACGGAGGGGGCUAGCGUUGUUCGGAAUUACUGGGCGUAAAGCGCACGUAGGCGGCUUUGUAAGUUAGAGGUGAAAGCCCAGGGCUUAACCCUGGAAUUGCCUUUAAGACUGCAUCGCUAGAAUCGUGGAGAGGUGAGUGGAAUUCCGAGUGUAGAGGUGAAAUUCGUAGAUAUUCGGAAGAACACCAGUGGCGAAGGCGGCUCACUGGACGCGUAUUGACGCUGAGGUACGAAAGCGUGGGGAGCAAAGCAGG
rnacentral:rRNA from 1 species